UACGUAGGAGGCGAGCGUUGUCCGGAGUUACUGGGCGUAAAGGGUGCGCAGGCGGUGGCCCGCGUGGGCGGUGAAAGCUCCUGGCUCAACUGGGAGAGGGCCGUCCAGACGGGGUCACUUGAGGGGCGGAGAGGGGCGUGGAAUUCCGGGUGGAGCGGUGGAAUGCGUAGAGAUCCGGAAGAACACCGGUGGCGAAGGCGGCCUGCUGGGCAGUUGCUGACGCUGAGGCGCGACAGCGUGGGGAGCAAACAGG
rnacentral:rRNA from 1 species